AAGAAAAAGAGGACACCCAAGGAACAGCCUGUCGAUUCUGUAACUCACUUUACAAAUUCUCACAGCGGAUUCCGCACUCAAAUCACUCGUGAAGGUGUCAGGUUACAAUUUGGUAUUCUGAUAAACAAUAACCGCGACAAAAGCGCCGCUCAAGUGAGAUUGUUUACAUUUGGAACUGUAAUUUAAGACUCAAAUCACUUAUGCUCAAAUAGUCUUGUUAAUUGUUAUUUCGCAUUCUGAUGACACCAUUUGACAUAUCGUGUGGAUUAAAAUCGGCAGUGAACUCGAUUUUUUACGUCAAAUUAAAAGUUGCUCUUUCCUAGGUGAAAUUAUGAUUUACAUGUGAGUUAGCCAUUUUUUAGCGAAGUUAAAGGCGGUUUUAUGUGAAAAUAUUCUAAUAUAGGACAAUCUAUAUAUAUGUGAAGGCCCGUCCACUUUAAACCUCUAUUUCAAUAAAUAAAUUAUGUAAAUAAUUGAAAAAUACUUAAUACAAUAUCUAUAGAUGGCGAAGAAAAAGGCAUGAAACGACCAAUUGGUUUCUCGGCCUUGGUUACUAUCGCUUUUUUCCAAUACCUAAGACAUUAUGUGGUAUUUACGAAACCUAAAACAUUUCCUAUAUGGGCUGCUGAGAUGAACGAAGAGUCUAGUAAAUAGAUAAUCUAAGAGUUCCAAUGUUCAAAAAAUCCUGGUUGAAUUUUUCUGCCUUUGAAGAAGAAUAUCACAUUUGUAUCAAUGACAAGGACCCCUGGAUAUAGAAAGACACAACAGUGCAGAUAUUUUCAAAUAAUUGAAUUUCAACUAUCCUUCAAUUUAUAAUAAAUGAUAUCACAGCCCGAACAACCAAAAUUGGCGGUUCUUAUAUCUUUAUAAAUAUUGAUAGGUAUAACAU